rnacentral:lncRNA from 1 species
AAAAACUCAGAUGAAACAAACUGGUUUAAAGUCUCUAAAGCCACAAAAGAAGUGGAUCAAAUGAAAACAAAAUGGAUUCUCCAAAAAAUGUGUUUCUUUUCCUCCUAAGUGGCGAAAACUAAAGGGAAAAAAAAUCCACACACAAAAAUUAAAUCUAAAUUCAACAGCCAGGACAGUUUACAAAUCACUUCUGUAGCCCUGAAGCAGGAUGAAAGGAAAUAAACACACUUCAUGGCAAGUUUUCUGAUAUGCCAGCAAGAUUUGCACUUCAAACUUCAAAGGCAGUCCUGAUAAACCCAACAAAGUGUGGUUCAGCAGAUUAAAACAUAUCCUGCCUCUUCCCACCAGAACUUGCUGUUGCUCUGCUGAACAGAGCAUCUGUGCAUCAGAAACAGCAAAUUGAAAGAACAACGGUAUUUAUUUAAAAUACGCCUGCAGAUGGG